UACAGAGGGGGCAAGCGUUAUUCGGAAUUAUUGGGCGUAAAGGGCGCGUAGGCGGCUUUGCAAGUGACGGGUGAAAUCCCUCGGCUUAACCGAGGAACUGCCUGUCAGACUGUGAGGCUUGAGACCGGGAGAGGUGAGUGGAAUUCCCAGUGUAGCGGUGAAAUGCGUAGAUAUUGGGAGGAACACCAGUGGCGAAGGCGGCUCACUGGACCGGAACUGACGCUGAGGCGCGAAAGCGUGGGGAGCAAACAGGAUUAGAAACCCGGUAGUCC
rnacentral:rRNA from 1 species